GGUCAACAAUAUCACUGUGUCUAAACUACACAGGCAAAAAAUGUUUGGACUCAAUAAUAUAUAAUUUCCAGCACAGUCACUAAAACAUAAAUAGAGAAAAGAUAGGUUUCUGUUUAUUUAUAUAUAUACAUAUAUAACUAUUUUCUAUUUUGAGAUGCAAUAUUUUCUACUGUGAAUAUCAAGUAUCAAAAGAUAACUGCAGUUUAUUAAAUUCACAAGAUACAAAUAUCAACUUAUGGCUAAUAAUUAAUCUAAACUUAAAAAAAAUUCAAACACAUACCAAAUCUAAUAUAUGGCAAAUCUAAACCUAUAAGUUUAUAAAACACAAAAACUAAUGUAUGGCACAUCUAAACCUAUAAGUUUAUAAAACACAAAACCUAGCGUAUGGCACAUCUAAACCUAUAAGUUUAUAAAACACAAAAACUAAUGUAUGGCACAUCUAAACCUAUAAGUUUAUAAAACACAAAAACUAAUGUAUGGCACAUCUAAACCUAUAAGUUUAUAAAAAUAAUGAUGAAUAAUUAUCAUUGGCUACAUAAACACAAUGGAAUACAACAGUUUUAUGAAGAAAAACAUCUUUACUCAUAUUAAUAAUGUUCAACACUAUCAAAAAUGCAAUAAAAAGAAUAAUCAAAUAAAAAAUAAAACCAACGUUCUACCAAUCAUCCUUUCUUCAGGCAGACACAUUUUUUUCUGUUUGAGUAGAAGCAGUCAUUUUUAUUGGUUGAAUCAAUCCAUAUGAUAUGCUGAAUUAAAAGGGAUUGUUUUAUCAAUUUCUAGUCUAAAAAGACUACAUGAUUGCACAUUAUAAUUAUAAACAUUUUAAUGCUCAAUUUUUAAUUGCAAUAAUAACUGUCAUUCUGAUUGGCCAGUAUAAUCAUCAAUUCAAACAUGACGUCCUUAUUACCCUUUGUUGACACAUUCCCACAAAUUUACUGUAUACAUUCUCGUUAUUUUCAUUUUUAACCUAAUAAUAUAUUUUUUUUUUAUCUGUGCUUAAAUAAAUCAGGUACAUGUAUUGUUAUUUAAAUAUCAUAUAUUUACCCUCCUAUUAAUUUUGAAACUUAUUAAAUAUGCAAAUGUAAUGUACACUAUAAUAUGAAUGAGUAUACCUUUAAAAGGAAGCAGAUAAUAAGGAUAUGGAAAUAGGCAGCAUACAGCAGUGUUGGAUUCAUAGGGGAUGCAAAAAGGUCAUACCACUCCUGUGAUAGGAAAAAUAUUCUUGUUUUUACAUGAAAGCUUCCAAAAACAUUGCCUUGCUUUAGUUGUGAUCAGUUAAUACCAUACAUAUAUACUUUCAUUUCAGAAAUUAUACCCCUUUUGAAAUUCAUGGAUCCACCCCUUUGAAGUACACCAUGCUCAAAAGAUUACUGCUUGUAUUUAAUUCCAGAAAACCUUAAAUUAUAGUUUCUUACAAAAUUUAGAAUAAAAAUUUCCAACAUUGCCUUAAUAAGUGUAUUUUAAAGAAUAUAUUUGGUAAACAGGACAUUCAUAAAUGAUGUACAUGUAUUUAUCAAAAUGCAUGAUUCAGUAGUGCAUACUCAUAUGCUUUUUACUACAAUUCUUGAAGCUCUGAAUUUGUGAUCUCAGAAAAACGUGACCUAAUUUUAUGGGAUUUGUAUACUAACAGAACUUAAUUUAGUAUACCCAUACAAUCAGAGUUUGAGGAUCUUAGAGUAUAAAAUAACAUUCACUUUCUUCAGAGCAUGGCCAUGGGUAUAAAUAAAGGAAACAGUAGUAUACCGCUGUUCAAAACUCGUAAAUCUAUGGACAAAAAACAGAACUGGGGUAACAAACUAAAACUGAGGGAAACGCAUUAAAUAUAAGAGGAGAACAACGACACAACAUUAAAAUGUAACACACACAGCAACGGACUAAGCAUUAGACAAAAUCCGAUGAGAAGAACAAAUAUAACAUCAAAACCAAAUACAUGAAUUAGGGAUAGAAAAGUACCGUGACACGUCUUAUAGUAAUGUGAAUUCACACUCAAAUAUAGGAGAAA
rnacentral:lncRNA from 1 species